GACGAACGCUGGAGGCGUGCUUAACCCAUCCAAGUCGAACGGAACGGCCCUGCUUUUUCGGGGUGCUCGAGUGGCGAACGCGUGCGUAACACGUAGGUCACCUCCCCCUGCCUUUGGGAUCCCUUCCCGAAGCUGGGGCUAAUACCGGAUAGGAGCUCCUGCUGCAUGGUGGGGGUUGGGACGUUUCGGCGGUUGGGGAUGGACUCGCGGCUUAUCAGCUUGUUGGUGGGGUAGUGGCUUACCAAGGCGUUGCCGGGUAGCCGGCCUGAGAGGGUGACCGGCCACAUUGGGACUGAGAUACGGCCCAGACUCCGACGGGAGGCAGCAGUGGGGAAUAUUGCACAAUGGGCGGAAGCCUGAUGCAGCAACGCCGCGUGCGGGAUGACGGCCUUCGGGUUGUAAACCGCUUUCGCCUGUGACGAAGCGGGAGUGACGGUAAUGGGUAAAGAAGCACCGGCUAACUACGUG
rnacentral:rRNA from 1 species